UACAGCGACCCAAGUGGGUGAUCCAUGAAAGAGGUUCGUUGAAGAGUGACGCGUAUGUUCACAUUGGCACAUGCUCAAUGACCCAAGUUGGUCCGAUGGUUGGUUU
rnacentral:lncRNA from 1 species